rnacentral:rRNA from 1 species
UACGUAGGUCCCGAGCGUUGUCCGGAUUUAUUGGGCGUAAAGCGAGCGCAGGUGGUUUAUUAAGUCUGGUGUAAAAGGCAGUGGCUCAACCAUUGUAUGCAUUGGAAACUGGUAGACUUGAGUGCAGGAGAGGAGAGUGGAAUUCCAUGUGUAGCGGUGAAAUGCGUAGAUAUAUGGAGGAACACCGGUGGCGAAAGCGGCUCUCUGGCCUAUAACUGACACUGAGGCUCGAAAGCGUGGGGAUCAAACAGG